CGCGGCGCCAUCGCCCCCAUCUCGGAUCCGGGAAGUCUGAGUCCCGCGGGCUGCGAGGACUUUAUAACCAGUGCCCGCGGCGACGCUGAUUGGUUCCCUGGGAUCGCGUCACCCAAUGGGAGUGAGACCUGUCAGCGCGUCAUCAGUGUCCGGGCAGAAGGACCUGACCCAGAGCGCUGUUUGUCAUGGUGUCUCCGAGUUCUGACCCAGAAGCUGUCUGGACACCAGGAGAGACCUGCAGGUCAGACUCUCUGUGUCUUCUCCUCCACCCUUCCUCUUCCUUCUUCUCUUCAUUAGUCAGACCCUGGACUCUUCUAGAAGAAAAGCCACUUCCUGGAAUACAAUAGCGACACAAAUGGUUGAGAAUGGAGUGGAGAGAUGCUUCUCCUUCAACAGAGGGUCCUGCAAGCCCCACACGGACCCCACAGAGACAAGGCUCUGUGUUCACCUGCAGUGGGAGACUCACACUGCCAAGCCUGACAGUAAAAAGGAGACUUUGCCUCUUCCCUCAGGAUCUGCCUUCUCAACCUCGGGCUGAGAGUCAGACUCCUCAAGUUUCUCCCUAGAUGAAGCAUCUGUAGCCCCAGAAGGGCAUGUGUUUUAUUUACAUGGUAAAUAGGGUAGUGGUGGCACACACCUUUAAUCCCAGAAAUUGGGAGGCAGAGGCAGGUGGAUUUCUGAGUUUGAGCCUAGCCUGGUCUACAGAGUGAGUUCCAGGACAGCCAGGGCUCCACAGAGAAACCCUGUCUCGUUUAAAAAAAGAAGAUCUUCAUUCUCAGUCCUGAGAUUGUUCAUGUGGACCUGGGUCAUUUUCUCUGCACUUAGACCCCCUUGCCCACUGGGAAGAGAGUUUGGUAUCAAAGGGAACAUAAAUUUUAUGAAUCACCCCA